rnacentral:lncRNA from 1 species
ACUCAAUCUUCAAUGAUCUGUUCUGUAUUCUUUCUCUGCCUAGUUUCACUGUGUUGCAAUUGAUGAACUUUUGGGAAUUCCUAGCCAAUUGUCUACUUAUUUUACUUUGGCCAGAACUGCAUCAAAUGACAACUUUCUAGAGGAAGGUAGACUGUGAGUAUAGUUAUGUUUAA